GUCGCGUGGUGUCCGGUGCGC
rnacentral:siRNA from 1 species